rnacentral:rRNA from 1 species
GUGACUCAUAGUAACUUAAUCGGAUCGCAUGGGCUUGUCCCGCGACAAACCAUUCAAGUUUCUGCCCCAUCAUGCUUUCGAUGGUAGUGUAUUGGACUACCAUGGCUUUCACGGGUAACGGAGGAUUAGGGUUCGAUUCCGGAGAGGGAGCCUGAGAAACGGCUACCACUUCCACGGAAGGCAGCAGGCGCGUAAAUUACCCAAUCCUGACUCAGGGAGGUAGUGACAAGAAAUAAUGGGUCGGGGUUCUGCCCCGGGACCGCAAUGAGACGAAUUUAGACCCCUUAUCGAGGACCAAUUGGAGGGCAAGUCUGGUGCCAGCAGCCGCGGUAAUUCCAGCUCCAAUAGCGUAUAUUAAAGUUGUUGCAGUUAAAAAGCUCGUAGUUGGAUUUCUGGUAGUGGGCAAGAGCUCGUUGCACGUUGCUCGCGUUCAUUGCCAUCCUUCUGUUAACCUAUCAGGGCAUUCUAUUGUCAGUUAGGGGCUCAGAUAUUUUACCUUGAGAAAAUUAGAGUGUUUCAGGCAGGCUUGUGCCCGGAUACAUUAGCAUGGAAUAAUGGAAUAGGACUUUAGCCUCUUCUGUUGGUCUGAGGGGUUGAAGUAAUGAUUAAUAGGGAUAGUUGGGGGCAUUAGUACUUAACUGUCAGAGGUGAAAUUCUCGGAUUUGUUAAAGACUAACUUAUGCGAAAGCAUUUGCCAAGGAUGUUUUCAUUAAUCAAGAACGAAAGUUAGGGGAUCAAAGACGAUCAGAUACCGUCCUAGUCUUAACCAUAAACUAUGCCGACUCGGGAUCGGGGGCCAGAGUUAACUGCCUUCGGCACCGUAUGAGAAAUCAAAGUCUUUGGGUUCUGGGGGGAGUAUGGUCGCAAGGCUGAAACUUAAAGGAAUUGACGGAAGGGCACCACCAGGCGUGGAGCUUGCGGCUCAAUUUGACUCAACACGGGGAAACUUACCAGGUCCAGACAUAGUGAGGAUUGACAGAUUGAUAGCUCUUUCUUGAUUCUGUGGGUGGUGGUGCAUGGCCGUUCUUAGUUGGUGGAGUGAUUUGUCUGGUUAAUUCCGUUAACGAACGAGACCUUAGCCUACUAAAUAGUCGCAACAAUUACGAUUGGCUGCGUCUUCUUAGAGGGACUUUGCAAGCAACUGCAAGGAAGUUUGAGGCAAUAACAGGUCUGUGAUGCCCUUAGAUGUCCUGGGCCGCACGCGUGCUACACUGACGCAUACAGCGAGUAUCACCAGCUCCGUGAGGCUGCUGGUAAUCAGCAAUAUGCGUCGUGCUGGGGAUAGAUCUUUGGAAUUUUUGAUCUUGAACGAGGAAUGCCUAGUAAGCGCAGGUCAUCAGCCUGCGUUGAUUAAGUCCCUGCCCUUUGUACACACCGCCCGUCGCUCCUACCGAUUUCGAGUGGUCCGGUGAACCCUUUGGACCGAGAGCGCCUCGUGAGCUUUUGGAAAGUCGAGUAAACCACAUCACUUAGAGGAAGGACAAGUCGUAACAAGGUUUCCGUAGGUGAACCUGCGGAAGGAUCAUUAA